AGUGAACGCUGGCGGCAGGCCUAACACAUGCAAGUCGAACGGCAGCACAGAGGAGCUUGCUCCUUGGGUGGCGAGUGGCGGACGGGUGAGGAAUACAUCGGAAUCUGCCUAUUUGGGGGGGAUAACGUAGGGAAACUUACGCUAAUACCGCAUACGACCUACGGGUGAAAGCGGAGGACCUUCGGGCUUCGCGCAGAUAGAUGAGCCGAUGUCGGAUUAGCUAGUUGGCGGGGUAAAGGCCCAGCAAGGCGACGGUCCGUAGCUGGUCUGAGAGGAUGAUCAGCCAAACUGGAACUGAGCCAGGGUCGUGGCUCCUACGGGAGGCAGCAUUGGGAAAAAUUGGAGAAUGGGCGAAAGGCUGUUCCAUCCAUGCCGUGUUGGUGAAGGAUGCAUUCGGGUUUUAAAGCCCUUUUGUUAUGAAAGAAAAGCAGUCGGUUAAUACCCGAUUGUUCUGACGGUACCCAAAGAAUAAGCACCGGCUAACUUCGUGCCAGCAGCCGCAGUAA
rnacentral:rRNA from 1 species